UCCUGAACGCAGCCUCGCCAGUCCAGUGCUGUGAGCUGGGCCCUCCAUGGAGAAGGAACCUGAGUUUGCUGAUCCUAAGGGAAAUGCUGUUGUGGAGGCCACGGGGGCAUUAUCUAUCAAGGAGACAGAGAGCCCUCUCGGGGACAAUGCCUUGCACACUCCACAUCACCCUGUUUGGCCCCGGAGGAUGGCUGGUUAGUCAAAUAUGGGUAAGAUUCCUCAAGGGAGGGACAACCUAAGACAGGCCCAGCCGCAGAGGGGCCAUCAGAGGCACAGAACUUCACCCCCACCAACCUUGGAAAAGGCCUAAUUCUUCACCCCUUCUGAGAGGUCUCCUGCCCCAUGGCUGCUUUGCUCCCCAUGUCCACCUCAGAUCAGAACCCAAGUGACAGACAGAGACCUAGUCAACAGCGACUGCCUGCUCCCCACAGCAGGAGACAACUGCAGCUACAGGGAUGGGCCGUGUCUGGGUGCUUUUCUCUUUCUUGGUUCUUCUCAUUUUUUAAUGCUUUUCCCUUUUCCUUUCUUCUCUCAUCAGGGUUCUCCUUCAGCAACAAAUUUAAUAAAAGGGGAGGAGGUGUUGGAAAAACUUCCAGUUACAACUAGCAGCUACGAGCAGCUUGCAGUGCUUGAGGAAUCCGCAUUCCUUCAGGCCUGACAGGAACACCUGCAGGAUGGGGUGCUCUGCUCUAGGAGCCGUCCAUGAAACCACAUCCUCCGCACUGUGGUUAGCAUUGCCAAACUACCAGGCCAGGAAACCGAGUCAGGGGCUGCAGGGCAUGAAAUCCCUGACUCAAUAAGCCCUUCUCUUAGGGCCAAAGACCCUUUCAGAUUGCUUUCCACCACGACAGCAAUAUUUAGAGUUUCCUCACAGUGUGGUUACAUUAGGCAGAAGAUGAUUGGCUUAUGGAUAUUGUCUUGCUUAUGUAUGAUUGACAGGCACGUCCCACUCAAACCCUAUAACAGUUGUGUGCAUUCCAAAAAGAAACUGAGCUACUGGAGUCGAGUUGAGGUUUGUCACCAGUCAGUUCUCACCAGCUCCCGGAGUCUGUGUGUUGAGUCCGAAUGUCUCUUACCCCCCCACACCCCUGCGACUAAGUUAGCCAAGCAACUAAUUCACCACACCAGUGACAGGAACAUAUGCAAGACAGCAUAUGAGAAACCUAAACCAGCCAAUUAUGCUGGUCUUUAAUGAUACAGUAUAUAUGAACAAUUGUCAGAAAGAUUAUUAAAAUAGAUUUUCCAAGAGUAUUUACAUUACUGACAGACCUAAUAGACUCCUUAAAUGUGAGAAUUAAGAAAAAAGAUGAUAAAUAUCUUGUAACCUGUAAAAAUACAACUUAUUGUAUCAUUAGUUUAUUGCCAGCUAAUAUUUCAGAGCUAUGAUAUGCUGAGGUUAAUAUUCAGGCUUUAAAACAGGUGUAUGUCAAUUAACCAGACCUAAGCAAACUGCUGGUCUCAUAAUCCCUAAAGUGACUACUUUAAAUAUUAUUCCUUGCUUAUUCAAUUGUAGCCUUUGUGGCUAUACCUUAAAAUUUACAAUGUAUGGAUUUUCUUAAUGUUUGACUUAAAUUACUUCCAAAAUCCUUCAUGGUCAGAUAAGCUGAUGGAAGGAUGAGAACUAAGUUAUAAUGCUCUAGAAGACAAUGUAAUAAAUAAUGUGAAUGAGCCCUCUGCUAAUGAAAAUGUCUAUGUUACUAUGGCCAAAUGCAAUGCCUCCCAAUAAAAUUGGAAAAAGAUUAAGAAUCUUCUG
rnacentral:lncRNA from 1 species